CCGCACGGGUGAGUAACACGUAUCCAACCUGCCGUCUACUCUUGGCCAGCCUUCUGAAAGGAAGAUUAAUCCAGGAUGGCAUCAUGAGUUCACAUGUCCGCAUGAUUAAAGGUAUUUUCCGGUAGACGAUGGGGAUGCGUUCCAUUAGAUAGUAGGCGGGGUAACGGCCCACCUAGUCAACGAUGGAUAGGGGUUCUGAGAGGAAGGUCCCCCACAUUGGAACUGGGACACGGUCCAA
rnacentral:rRNA from 1 species